rnacentral:rRNA from 1 species
GACGAACGCUGGCGGCGUGCCUAAUACAUGCAAGUAGAACGCUGAAGGAGGAGCUUGCUUCUCUGGAUGAGUUGCGAACGGGUGAGUAACGCGUAGGUAACCUGCCUGGUAGCGGGGGAUAACUAUUGGAAACGAUAGCUAAUACCGCAUAAUAUUGACUAUUGCAUGAUAGUCAGUUGAAAGGUGCAACUGCACCACUACCAGAUGGACCUGCGUUGUAUUAGCUAGUUGGUGGGGUAACGGCUCACCAAGGCGACGAUACAUAGCCGACCUGAGGGGGGGAUCGGCCACACUGGGACUGAGACACGGCCCAGACUCCUACGGGAGGCAGCAGUAGGGAAUCUUCGGCAAUGGACGGAAGUCUGACCGAGCAACGCCGCGUGAGUGAAGAAGGUUUUCGGAUCGUAAAGCUCUGUUGUAAGAGAAGAACGAGUGUGAGAGUGGAAAGCUCACACUGUGACGGUAUCUUACCAGAAAGGGACGGCUAACUACGUG